rnacentral:rRNA from 1 species
CCUCUGUAUGCUUAGUAGCGGCGAGUGAGCGGCAAUAGCUCAAAUUUGAAAUCUGGCGUCUUCGGCGUCCGAGUUGUAAUUUGAAGAAGGUAUCUUUGAGGCUGGCUCUUGUCUAUGUUCCUUGGAACAGGACGUCACAGAGGGUGAGAAUCCCGUGCGAUGAGAUGCCCAGUUUCGUGUAAAGUUCCUUCGACGAGUCGAGUUGUUUGGGAAUGCAGCUCUAAGUGGGUGGUAAAUUCCAUCUAAAGCUAAAUAUUGGCGAGAGACCGAUAGCGAACAAGUACUGUGAAGGAAAGAUGAAAAGAACUUUGAAAAGAGAGUGAAAAAGUACGUGAAAUUGUUGAAAGGGAAGGGCUUGAGGUCAGACUUGGUUUACCAGGCCAGCAUCAGUUUGGGUGGCAGGAUAAUAGCUAAGGAAAGUGGCACGAUUUCGGUUGUGUGUUAUAGCCUUGGUUGAUACUGCCUGCCUAGACUGAGGACUGCGUCUUUGACUAGGAUGCUGGCAUAAUGACCUUAAGCCGCCCGUCAUAAAACCACGGACCC